AGGAUCAUUAUUGAAAUAAAUCUGAUAAGUUGUUGCUGGUUCUCUAGGGAGCAUGUGCACACUUGUCAUCUUUGUAUCUUCACCUGUGCACCUUUUGUAGACUUGAUAAUCUCUCUGAAUGCUUUAAAGCCUUCAGGAUUGAGGAUUGACUUGCUGUCUUUUCUUACAUUUUCAGGUCUAUGUUUCUUCAUAUACCCUAAUGUAUGUUUAUAGAAUGUAAUCAAUGGGCCUUUUGUGCCUAUAAAUGUAUACAACUUUCAGCAACGGAUCUCUUGGCUCUCGCAUCGAUGAAGAACGCAGCGAAAUGCGAUAAGUAAUGUGAAUUGCAGAAUUCAGUGAAUCAUCGAAUCUUUGAACGCACCUUGCGCUCCUUGGUAUUCCGAGGAGCAUGCCUGUUUGAGUGUCAUUAAUAUAUCAACCUUUUUGGUUGGAUGUGGGUUUGCUGGCCUCUUGAGGUCAGCUCCCCUUAAAUGCAUUAGCGGACAACAUUUUGUGAAUCGUUUAUUGGUGUGAUAAUUAUCUACGCUAUUGAGCGUGAAGCAAGGUUCAGCUUCUAACAGUCCAUUGACUUGGACAAAUUUAUUUUUUAUUAAUGUGACCUCAAAUCAGGUAGGACUACCCGCUGAACUUAA
rnacentral:rRNA from 1 species